AGCUCCAAUAGCGUAUAUUAAAGUUGUUGCAGUUAAAAAGCUCGUAGUUGGAUCUCGGGUUUAGGCCUGCGGUGCAGUUUAGGCUGCUUACUGCUCGUCCUGACCUACCUGCCGGUUUUCCCUCGGUGCUCUUAAGUGAGUGUCUUGGGUGGCCGGAACGUUUACUUUGAAAAAAUUAGAGUGCUCAAAGCAGGCUUCUGCCUGAAUAUUAGUGCAUGGAAUAAUCGAAUAGGACCUCGGUUCUAUUUUGUUGGUUUUCGGAACUCGAGGUAAUGAUUAAGAGGGACAGACGGGGGCAUUCGUAUUACGGUGUUAGAGGUGAAAUUCUUGGAUCGCCGUAAGACGAACUACUGCGAAAGCAUUUGCCAAGAAUGUUUUCAUUAAUCAAGAACGAAAGUAG
rnacentral:rRNA from 1 species